rnacentral:rRNA from 1 species
CUUCGGCUCUGGGGACAGCGGCGAACGGGUGAGUAACACGUGGGUAAUCCACCCUCGGCACCGGAAUAGCCCGGGGAAACCCGGAUUAAUGCCGGAUGGCCCGUCGACCCUUCGGGGCUGACGGAAAAGGUAGCUUCGGCCUCCGGCCGGGGACGAGCCCGCGACGGAUUAGCUUGUUGGUGGGGUAACGGCCUACCAAGGCUCCGAUCCGUAGCUGGUCUGAGAGGACGAUCAGCCACACUGGGACUGAGACACGGCCCAGACUCCUACGGGAGGCAGCAGUGGGGAAUCUUGCGCAAUGGGCGAAAGCCUGACGCAGCGACGCCGCGUGAGGGAAGAAGGCCUUCGGGUUGUAAACCUCUUUCAGGAGGGACGAAGCCACUCGGGUUAAUAGCCCAGAGGGUGACGGUACCUCCAGAAGAAGCCCCGGCUAACUACGUGCCAGCAGCCGCGGUAAUACGUAGGGGGCAAGCGUUGUCCGGAUUUAUUGGGCGUAAAGAGCGUGUAGGCGGCCAGGUAGGUCUGCUGUGAAAACUCGAGGCUUAACCUCGAGCUGUCGGCGGAAACCAUCUGGCUAGAGUCCGGAAGAGGAGAAUGGAAUUCCCGGUGUAGCGGUGAAAUGCGCAGAUAUCGGGAAGAACACCCGUGGCGAAGGCGGUUCUCUGGGACGGUACUGACGCUGAGACGCGAAAGCGUGGGGAGCGAACAGGAUUAGAUACCCUGGUAGUCCACGCCGUAAACGAUGAGUGCUAGUGUUGGGGGGGGUGUCGACUCCCUCCGUGCCGCAGCUAACGCAUUAAG